rnacentral:rRNA from 1 species
AUUGAACGCUGGCGGCAGGCCUAACACAUGCAAGUCGAACGAGUGGCGGACGGGUGAGUAAUGUCUGGGAAACUGCCCGAUGGAGGGGGAUAACUACUGGAAACGGUAGCUAAUACCGCAUACCAUCGGAUGUGCCCAGAUGGGAUUAUCUAGUGGGCGGGGUAACGGCUCACCUAGGCGACGAUCCCUAGCUGGUCUGAGAGGAUGACCAGCCACACUGGAACUGAUACAAGGUCCAGACUCCUACGGGAGGCAGCAGUGGGGAAUUUUGGACAAUGGGCGCAAGCCUGAUGCAGCCAUGCCGCGUGUAUGAAGAAGGCCUGCGGGUUGUAAAGUACGUUCAGCGGGGAGGCGUUACUCGAAGAAGAAGCACCGGCUAACUCCGUGCCAGCAGCCGCGGUAAUAC